GUGAGCCGUGUGAUGGGAAACCUUCCCGCACGGUUCGGAGAGCACUGGAGAAUUUCAGCACAACAUGCAAGAGCUCGCUCGAUUCGACCGAUCUUUCAUUUUGAU
rnacentral:ncRNA from 1 species